rfam:Aggregatibacter actinomycetemcomitans D11S-1, complete genome.
AAAACAAGUGCUAUAUAAAUAGCCAAACAUAUUUUGCUUUCCGAGUAGUGCCUCCUGUGAGGCACUUUUUUUAUCCG